AUGUCGACCAAAGUUCUCCUGAUCCUCUUGGGCACGCUGGUAAUCUUUCCGUGCAUUGAAGGACCUCAAGUUGAAUCAGAGGAGGGAUCCUCUGCCAGUGCUGAUAAGGUCUAUGGCCCAAAGCCCCAGCCUCCUGAAAAGGACCUCUCCUCUGAAGAAAUAAAGCCAACUGCUGUUGGUACCCAUAAGAAACUUGGCAAAAUGCCAACAGCCACGGAAAUCCUGGAUGGCAUCUUCCAUAACUAUGACUACAAACUGCGCCCUGGCAUUGGAGAGAGACCCACUGUGGUCACCGUCGAACUGUCUGUCAACACCCUUGGGCCUCUCUCUAUCAUGGACAUGGAAUACACCAUUGACAUCACCUUCUGCCAGACUUGGUAUGACGAACGCCUUCGUUUCAAUGGCAGCUUUGAGAGCUUUGUUCUGAGUGGCAACUUGGUGAGCCUGCUGUGGGUCCCAGACACCUUUUUUAGGAAUUCUAAGAGGACCCAUGAGCACUCAAUCACCAUGCCCAACCAGAUGGUCCGCAUCCACAAGGAUGGCAAGGUGUUGUACACCAUCAGGAUGACCAUUGAGGCUGGAUGCUCACUCCACAUGCUCAAAUUUCCAAUGGACUCUCACUCUUGCCCUCUGUCUUUCUCUAGCUUUUCCUAUCCUGAGAAUGACCUAAUCUACGAGUGGGAAAAUUUCACGCUUAAGAUCAAUGAGAGUAAUUCCUGGAAGCUCUUCCAGUUUGACUUUACAGGAGUGAGCAACACAACUGAAACUGUUACAACCCUGGCUGGUGAUUUCAUAGUCAUGACGCUUUACUUCAACGUGAGCAGGCGAUUUGGCUUUGUGGCCUUUCAUAACUAUGUUCCUUCCUCUGUGACCACAAUGGUCUCCUGGAUUUCCUUUUGGAUCAAGAAAGAGUCUGCUCCAGCCAGGACUUCUCUAGGGAUCACCUCUGUACUCACCAUGACCACUUUGGGCACCUUCUCGCGGAAGAAUUUCCCACGCGUGUCCUAUAUCACAGCCUUGGAUUUCUACAUUGCCAUCUGCUUCGUCUUCUGCUUCUGCGCUCUGAUGGAGUUUGCCGUGCUCAACUUCCUGACCUACAACCGGACGGCGCCCCGUGGUUCUCCCAUACUUCGCCAUCCUCGUGCCACGAUCCGUGUCCGCAUCCCUGUCACUGAGCAUCCGGAAGCUUUUGUGUGUGACGUUGAGGACUCCGAGGAGGACGAGUCGGGGGAGAGUGAGGAAGAUGAAGGCCCAUCCUGCCCAGCCCAGCAGGCCGCCAGGCCAAGCCGCCUCCGGCGCUCUGCUGGCUGCAGCAGGUGGUGCGACAAGUACUGCUGCAUGGUCCCCACUUGUGACGCCAGCAGCUGGCAGCAGGGCCGCCUCUUCAUCCAUGUCUACCGCUUGGAUAACUACUCACGAGUGAUUUUCCCAGUCACCUUCUUCUUCUUCAAUGUGAUCUAUUGGCUUGUUUGCCUUAACCUGUAG
rnacentral:lncRNA from 1 species